AGGUGUUCAGUAAAUGAAAACACAAGAUCCAGUCAUUUCAAUGAGGUGCAUCGGCUAGAAAAUGAUGUGUAAUGGGUGACUAUGGGGGAAGGGAAACUGCCCAAUCACCAUGAGUAAGUUUCAUAGAUGAAGAUGGAGCAGAAAAAAUGAGAGGCACAGAAACUAUAAUCAAGGCAUAGCCAGAAACUGUGAGAAGCUUUGUCAUUUUGUGGAGCUGAAAACGCAACAAGACCUACCUUGAAUUACAUCCCAUCGUGACUGAGGGGUGAAGCCCAGAACCAGCUUUGAGACAAGAACGGUCUGGGGUACUUGGACUUCCAACAGCAUAAUUCAGAAAACAACUCAUUCUGGAACGUAGCCAUGGACCUUUGGUUCACCAGCCCUUAGGUUUUGCUCGAUAGUUUGACAACCUUGAGAUGCUAAUACUAACUGCCUUAAUGGAGAUCAGCAAACUCAGCACAGAUCUGGAUCUUCCUGAAUUGUAAGACUCAGCUAAC